rnacentral:rRNA from 1 species
CCUACGGGCUGCAGCAGUGGGGAAUAUUGCACAAUGGGCGCAAGCCUGAUGCAGCCAUGCCGUGUGUAUGAAGAAGGCCUUCAGGUUGUAAAGUACUUUCAGUCGGGAGGAAGGUGGUGAGCUUAAUACGCUCAUCAAUUGACGUUACCGACAGAAGAAGCACCGGCUAACUCCGUGCCAGCAGCCGCGGUAGUACGGAGGGUGCAAGCGUUAAUCGGAAUUACUGGGCGUAAAGCGCACGCAGGCGGUUGAUUGAGUCGGAUGUGAAAUCCCCGGGCCUAACCCGGGAAUUGCAUCUGAUACUGGUCAGCUAGAGUCUUGUAGAGGGGGGUAGAAUUCCAUGUGUAGCGGUGAAAUGCGUAGAGAUGUGGAGGAAUACCGGUGGCGAAGGCGGCCCCCUGGACAAAGACUGACGCUCAGGUGCGAAAGCGUGGGGAGCAAACAGGAUUAGAUACCCGAGUAGUC